rnacentral:rRNA from 1 species
CCUACGGGAGGCAGCAGUGAGGAAUAUUGGUCAAUGGACGAGAGUCUGAACCAGCCAAGUCGCGUGAAGGAUGACUGCCCUAUGGGUUGUAAACUUCUUUUAUAUGGGAAUAAAAUGUUCCACGUGUGGGAUUUUGUAUGUACCAUAUGAAUAAAGAUCGGCUAACUCCGUGCCAGCAGCCGCGGUAAUACGGAGGAUGCGAGCGUUAUCCGGAUUUAUUGGGUUUAAAGGGAGCGUAGGUGGAUUGUUAAGUCAGUUGUGAAAGUUUGCGGCUCAACCGUAAAAUUGCAGUUGAAACUGGCAGUCUAGAGUACAGUAGAGGUGGGCGGAAUUCGUGGUGUAGCGGUGAAAUGCUUAGAUAUCACGAAGAACUCCGAUUGCGAAGGCAGCUCACUGGACUGCAACUGACACUGAGGCUCGAAAGUGUGGGUAUCAAACAGGAUUAGAUACCCCAGUAGUC